GAUGAACGCUGGCGGCGUGCUUAACACAUGCAAGUCGAACGGAAAGGCCCAAGCUUGCUUGGGUACUCGAGUGGCGAACGGGUGAGUAACACGUGGGUAAUCUGCCCUGCACUUCGGGAUAAGCCUGGGAAACUGGGGCUAAUACCGGAUAGGACCACUUCUUGGAUGUUGUUGUGGAAAGUUUUUUCGGUGUGGGGUGAGCUCGCGGCGGUUCAGCUUGUUGGUGGGGUAAUGGUCUACCAAGGCGUCGACGCGUAGCCGACCGGAGAGGGUGGACGGCGACACUGGAAGGGAGACGCGCUCCAGAGUCCUAAGAGAGGCAGCAGUGUGCAAUGUGCGGCAAUGGGGGGAAGUCUGACGGAGGGGCGGCGCGCGGGUGACGAAGGGCCGCGGUGGGGAAAGCCCGGUUUUGGGGGAAAAACAAAUUUCGCUGGGAACGUGGCCGUUUGGACGGUACCCAAGGAAAAAGCCACGGCUAACUUAGUG
rnacentral:rRNA from 1 species